CUACGGGUUGCUCCAGUGGGGAAUAUUGCACAAUGGGCGCAAGCCUGAUGCAGCCAUGCCGCGUGUAUGAAGAAGGCCUUCGGGUUGUAAAGUACUUUCAGCGGGGAGGGAGGGAGUAAAGUUAAUACCUUUGCUCAUUGACGUUACCCGCAGAAGAAGCACCGGCUAACUCCGUGCCAGCAGCCGCGGUAAUACGGAGGGUGCAAGCGUUAAUCGGAAUUACUGGGCGUAAAGCGCACGCAGGCGGUUUGUUAAGUCAGAUGUGAAAUCCCCGGGCUCAACCUGGGAACUGCAUCUGAUACUGGCAAGCUUGAGUCUCGGAGAGGGGGGUAGAAUUCCAGGUGUAGCGGUGAAAUGCGUAGAGAUCUGGAGGAAUACCGGUGGCGAAGGCGGCCCCCUGGACGAAGACUGACGCUCAGGUGCGAAAGCGUGGGGAGCAAACAGGAUUAGAUACCCCAGUAGUC
rnacentral:rRNA from 1 species